rnacentral:rRNA from 1 species
AUACGGAGGAUGCGAGCGUUAUCCGGAUUUAUUGGGUUUAAAGGGUGCGUAGGCUGUGCGUUAAGUCAGGGGUGAAAUGCCGUCGCUCAACGACGGAGCUGCCCUUGAUACUGGCGUGCUGGAGUACUGAUGCCGUUGGAGGAAUGAGUGGUGUAGCGGUGAAAUGCUUAGAUAUCACUCAGAACACCGAUUGCGAAGGCAUCUGACGAAUCCGUCACUGACGCUGAGGCACGAAAGCGUGGGGAUAGAACAGGAUUAGAUUCCCUGGUAUUCCACGCCGUAAACGAUGAUGACUAACCGUCGGCGAUAGACAGCCGGUGGCCAAGCGAAAGCGAUAAGUCAUCCACCUGGGGAGUACGUCGGCAACGAUGAAACUCAAAUGAAUUGACGGGG